GACUUAAAAUCCGUCGACUUUUAAAAUCGUGAGGGUUCAAGUCCCUCUAUCCCCAAAAAAAGCCUAUUUGACUCCCAAAAAAAUAUUUAACCUAUCCGC
rnacentral:tRNA from 1 species